rnacentral:rRNA from 1 species
UACGCGUGAGAACCUGCCUCUAGGACGGGGACAACAGUUGGAAACGACUGCUAAACCCGGAUGAGCCGAAAGGUAAAAGAUUAAUCGCCUAGAGAGGGGCUUGCGUCUGAUUAGCUAGUUGGUGAGGUAAGAGCCCACCAAGGCGACGAUCAGUAGCUGGUCUGAGAGGAUGAUCAGCCACACUGGGACUGAGACACGGCCCAGACUCCUACGGGAGGCAGCAGUGGGGAAUUUUCCGCAAUGGGCGAAAGCCUGACGGAGCAAGACCGCGUGGGGGAGGAAGGUUCUUGGAUUGUCAACCCCUUUUCUCAGGGAAGAACACAAUGACGGUACCUGAGGAAAAAGCAUCGGCUAACUCCGUGCCAGCAGCCGCGGUAA